GUUUAUUUAUUUAUUUUUGUUUUUAUUACAACUUUGUCUUAGACUAAUUUUACUUAACAGUACAUAAAAAAAAUACAUAAAUUAAAUUUAGUUGAAAACAAUACCCUUAGUAAUUCGUAAAUUAUGAUUAAACUUUUUUUCUUAAAUCUGCCAUAACUUUUGAAAAAAGAAUGAAUCAAACAAUUAUUUAUUUUUUUUUUUUUUUUUGUGUCUGUUACCACUUUUUCUCAACUCUCACCGAACUGAUUUCUUUCAACAAUACGUCAAAAGAUCACAAAUCGUAUCUAGUUGAAGACAUUACCCUUAAAAAUUGAAAAAAAUUCCCUCGUUCCCCGCAAAUGGGGGAAAUAUCCAAAAAAAUUACAAAUUUAAAAAUCGCUAAUUUUAAUAUUCUGGUAUGGUUUGAUACCCUAUUAGGGUAGUACCAAUUAAUAAAAUCAUUUCCAUGAAAAAUAUUUCAUUUUGCUAAUAUAACCUGUUAUAUCAACAACAAACAUAAAACAAAUACUCAAUAACUUGAAGUAAGUAAACUUACAAUAAAGUUUCUAUAUACAAAAACAAUAUUUCCAAACCUAGGAAAUAAAAUUAAUUCAGAAAAAAUAAAGAUAUCAUAAAAGUUUUAAAAUAGUUAUAAUUUGCCCUGCUUUAGAAAAUAUUCAUUUGCAGGGCAACAAAUCUUUGUUGUACUUGUUGAUUUAAUGGUUAAUUUGGAAACCAUAUUUGUUAAUUGCGGUGAAUCAUAUGACUGAUUUUCCAAAUGAGUACAAUACUUAAGUAGUGCUCGACUAAAUACAAUAGAUUUUGAAAUAGAAACACAUUUCUCACUACUUAUUUCUACUGUUAUUUCCUUAAAAUAUUUUAAUAUCUCACAUGUUUUCGAAAUAAUUAGCCAGUUAUUAUUAGACAAAUAAGCAUCAUAAUGGCAAUCAAAUAAUACUGAUGAUAGAGGAACUUUAAGAUCUAGAAUACGCUGAAACAUCUCAAAUGUUGAAUUCCAACGAGUGGCAAUAUCCUGAAUCAACAUUAAAGAUAUUGAUUUAAAAGCUGCUUGCACCACUAAAUUCAAGCUAUAAGCAUAACAACCUACAUUUCUUCACCCACACAAAUUAACAGCAUUAACUAUAUUGUGAGCGUUGUCCGUUGUGCAUGCAGCAAUGCAAUUACCUAAGCUCCAUUCAUUUAUAACUGCUAAUAAAUCAUUUUUCAAAUUUUCUGAUGUAUGUGAUUCAGAGUUUUAAAACAAGAAAGAAGAUAUGAUUUUAAUUGACAUUCUUUAUCUAUAAAAUGUCAUGUGACAGCAAUAUAAUUUUCAUUUUUAACUGAAGUCUAACUAUCGGUAAUAAUGACUUUGAAAGAGUUUCUCGAUGGAAGUGUGUAUCCAGUAUUAAGUAAUUUUAAAAGUUUGACGAACUCUCCGUCUUCAACGAUAUUGAAAGGAUAGUAUUUCUUGACAAUCAUUUUUAAGACUUGUUGAUCAAUUGUUUUAUGACGUGAGGAACCCAAUGGCUUUGAAAAAUAAAGAAGAUUGAAAUGGAAUUUCUGAAGACACGGUGGUUUGGCAAUUUAUGGGAUUAGAUUUUGAAACAGUUGUACUCUAAAAAUAUAUAUGUUUACUAUUUAGUAGUAUAAAUAUUUACUUAUUUUUCUACUGUUUGUAUAAAUAAAUUAAUAAUAAUCAAAUAUUAAAUAUGAGAAUAAUUUUUAUGUUUUUAAAUUGAAAUUGUAAUAUAUAUAUGGUAGUCAGAUAUAAGAAUAUUUAAAAAGUAUACAUUUAAAUGAAACUUUCCAUACUAAAAAAAUCUUUUUAGUAAAUAUUCUUAAUUAUAUAAUGAUUUAGAGCAGUUAAAUUAUUAGGUGUAUGUAUCUUUUUAAUGGAUUUUGGGUGACAUUUAUAAAUGAUGAAUUUACAAUUAUAAAUAAGCAAUAUCCUUUUAAUAAUAAUUAAAGGAAAGUAUAAAUAUUUUAAUUCAAUUUUAAAAAUGAAAAAUGAUUUAAUUGUUUGCUUAUUAAAAUAAAAAUUAAUAUUAAUAAUGUGCUUUAUUGUUGGCUGUUAUGAUGGAACUAUUUGCUUUGUUGAUAAUUGUAAAAAAUUUCAGUUAGGUAAUAUUUUUAACUAUGUGUAUGCCCAGAAAGAAAAGCUUUAAGUUUACUGUACGAAAUAUUCAAUAAGUUUGAUAAAGUAUUUAAAAAUAACUCAAUAAAAAUGAAGAAUUACUAACAUGCUAUUAGAAUUUUACAUGUAUUUAACACUGUUGUCAAUUAGAAGAAGUACUCUCAUGAAAAAAAAUAUGUCUGGUC